rnacentral:rRNA from 1 species
UACGUAGGGGGCUAGCGUUGUCCGGAAUCAUUGGGCGUAAAGAGCGUGUAGGCGGUCCGGUAAGUCCGCUGUGAAAGUCGGGGGCUCAACCCUCGAAUGCCGGUGGAUACUGUCGGGCUAGAGUGCGGAAGAGGCGAGUGGAAUUCCUGGUGUAGCGGUGAAAUGCGCAGAUAUCAGGAGGAACACCUAUUGCGAAGGCAGCUCUCUGGGCAUUAACUGACGCUGAGGAGCGAAAGCAUGGGGAGCGAACAGG